rnacentral:lncRNA from 1 species
GGAAAUGUAGACGAAGCUGAGAUAAUUGACAGCUCCAUGUUAAACAUAUUUCAGCUAAACAUUUUGCUGACAAAAGAAAAAUCGAAAUUAAAGGAAUACAAUGUAGAAGUUCUUUAUUAAAAAACAUGCAUGAGUAUUCACACAAAACUCACAGCAAUUACAAUACUUGGAAUAAAAACCCCAAAAGGAUUUGCAAUGAGUGUUAUUUAGGCUAGAUUAUGUUGGUGUUACAGAAAUAUUGGUAACCCUUAACAACUUUAGAAAGUAUUCUACUGGACUACUUAUAAACCAUUAACAUACCCUUUAUAAAGUACACCAUGUAAAUUGUUGCCAAAAUACUUUACAGGUAGACAAGAAUUUCAAAACAUAAUUUAGAAACAUAUUAAUUCUCAAAUAAUAGAAAUCACUGCACUUUCCAUUUAAAACAAUUACAUUUAAUCAUUAAAAUAAAAUUUUAUUCAACCUUAAACCUAACAAAAUAAUUGUCAGCCUAAACUGAAGACUACAACACGGCAAUGUGCAAUAAAUAAAUGCAGAAAUAUUUUUUUCUUCAUUCAGAGAAUAGGCCAAUAGCAAAUAUAUCUCUUCAGAAGGCGAGGUCAGUACAGGUGCAUCAAAGCUGGGACCGAGAGACAGAAAAACAGCUUCUAUCAAGGCCAUCAGACUGUUAAAUAGCCAUCACUAGCCAGUUACUCAACCCUGCACCUUAGAGGCUGCUACCCUAUAUACAUAGACAUGGAAUCACUGGUCACUUUAAUAAUGUUUAUGUAACCGGUGUGAAAUGGCUAGCUAGUUAGCGGGGUGCACGCUUAAAGCGUUUCAAUCGGUGACGUCACUCGCUCUGAGACCUUGAAGUAGUUGUUCCCCUUGCUAUGCAAGGGCCGUGGCUUUUGUGGAGUGAUAGAUAACGAUGCUUCGUGGGAGGUAGUUGUUGAUGUGUGCAGAGGGUCCCUGGUUCGGGGCAAGGAGGGGACGGAAGCAAAACUGUUACAUUUACAUACUGCUUUACUCAUCGCAUAUGUAUAUACUGUAUUCUAUUCUACUGUAUUUUAGCCAAUGCCACUCUUUAUUUUUAGAUUUGUUUGUAUUGUUAGAUAUUACUGCACUGUUGGAGCUAGGAACACAAGCAUUUUUGCUACACCCGCAAUAACAUCUGAUAAAUAUGUGUAUGUGACCAAUUUGAUAUCAAUAAAUAACCAUCCAUUACAAUAGGCUUGCAGGGCUACUCAAAUAUAAUACACGUAUUGUUUAACAUUGUAGUUGUGUGGGAGAGAGUCCUCGUGGCCCAUUGGGGGUGAGGGGGUUACACAUCAGAAGGGGAGGCCAUUACAGAGCAGAAACUAACAGCACCAUCAGCAGUCCCAGAAGGUGACAGAGAGGACUAGGGCACAGGGCCAGCCCGGAUGAAAUGCCUGCAUUGGGACACAAACACAAAAGCAACACUAACUGUAUGGAGACAAAGUCAACAACAUCAACUCAACAAUAAAGGAGCAUACAAUUGCAUCCUACAUCCAACACUCCUUCAAACCUUGAGCUGUCCUUCUUCCACUAGAUCCUGAUUCCUCUUCUUAUUCAGACUCAAAGUUACAAAAUAUACAUGCUGAAAGUAUGUACUGACAUAAUACGCAUCUAAUUUAAUUACCCUCUGCUAAGAUCAAGACAAUGUUAGCUUCAGUGAAACGUGUAAGGCUGACUACGAGAACCCGUCGGAUAUCGAGCCCUCAUAAUUGGGAAAAAGCCCGAAUCUGGAAAUUGAGAUUUUGGUUGUUUAGGAUUAUUUAAACGCUUUACUUUAUUGUAAUGUAAAUUUCACCUUUUUUUUGUCAUUAGCCAGCAAUGUGCCCAAUGUGAAAAACGCUCAUUUAAACUUGCCUGGGAGUGUUCCAGUUGACUUGGCACAUUCAAGACAACAUGCAACAGAUCAAUGAAAUCAGGCUGGUUUAGACACAUAAUAAUUUGCUAGAUAGUUAGUAAUAUAAUAGUAUAAAGUUGUCAUUCACAAUAAACAAUGUAGUUAUGAAUACAAGUGGGUCAGACGUUCAUUUUGUCUAUAAGUAGCCGUAGGCCACGCCAGAGCAAACCUUCAUAAAAGAAGUGCACACAUUCUUCCGAUGUUGCUUGAUCAGUGGGUUGGCCUGUUCGCUGCCAAAAUGACAUGAAAAUGGAUCAAAGUAUAUAAACAGUAUUGCCUUAAUUUCAUCCGUUCAGAAUUAUUUUGAUUUUAGGUAACAAAGCAAUUGAGAUCCUAUUCUAAAACUUGUCACCUCAUCAUGGAUGGAGAGCUGAGAGCAUCUUCAAUGAGGAGAAAGCAAGGUAUAUUACGCUAGUGCUCCAACCUCAAUGAAGACCUCAGGGCUCCAGGAGCUUAUGGGUCCAAAAGCCAGGCUGUGGCUCAGCAGUCCCGUUAAAGCCUCUUCUGAACAGGCCAGCCUCACAUGGCCCAGCCACAGAACUGCCGUACCGCAGCCAGGAGGGGGAGAGGUCACAGGUAUUGCUGGAGCAGAGAGGACAGGAGUCAGGUCAUAGACGUUACCUGCUGAGUGUUCCAGGCUCGUCUUCCUGCCAAGGUCCUGUUGGUCAACAGCAGACUAGCCCUGGUCAGCACACUGAGUAGAGGGGUGCUGUGGAGCAGGGGCUCCACCUUAUCCAACCAGCCAGUCACCUCUGGAGUGAAGGGUACAGAGGCCAGGGCUGUCAGCACAGGGCUGAGCUUCUGUAGGAAGUCCACACCCAGCCAGGGCAAGAAGGGAGGCAGCUGAGAGAGAGCCAGUAGACUGAAGCUCAAUCCCAUUCAGGAACAAGCUGGAGAUCUGAAGAGGGAUGGUCACAAGCGUAACACACACAUAUAUUUACACAGGAAUCACACAAAGUGCAAACACAAGACAUUCAACCCAUAGAUUAAUCUAGUUCACUCAUACACAUAUGAGUUUCACCUUGAAUUUUGCGGUGAAAAAUAAAGUAGUUCUAUGGUAAGGAAUAACAGCGUCAGUCUGUGUCUGUCUGUGACAGCUCCACUUACCAUGUCCCUGGGGCUCCUGAGGCCCCGGACAACACGUCCUAAUGUUGUCCUGAAUCACAGAGAAGGCCUCUGCGUUUCUGUACACCCGCAGGUCCUUUGGGUCUGACAGACACGUCAGGUUGCCAAGCCUAGGGAGACAAAGAUGAUAAUUACUCAAGCGUAUCCAAAGAUACUCUUGGAUCCCAAACAGUUGGUUACUUCAGUGUCUACCAGAAUGUUGAGUUUCAUAGGACUAGGGAAAGUAUUUUCUUGAAAACGCAUACACUCAAAUCAGAUUGUUUGAAACCGAAUCUUUCUGCAAGACAGGAUACAUGACCAACCAUCGAUCAAAUAUUGUGACACUGA